UCAGAAGCAGGUGAAGGCGACCCCCCAUUCUCAAAACCCUAACCUUCACUAAUUCCUCAAAUUGAAGGCUCAAACCAAGUUAAAAUCGAAAUCUGAACAUAGAUUCGUGAUCACUUCGUCAAAGGGAUCAUAAGGCAAGGAAUCCGGAACGUCAAGCGGACACGCCGGAGAGGAUAUGCGUGGAAAAGGUGUGCUUUAAAGGUAAUGUUGGUGAUACUCCGGAAGACGGUCAAGCAACAUGUCAAAGAACCGAACACAACACUUUUGAAGCUUCCGCGUUAAUAUAUUUCGUUUUAACUAAAUGUGAAUAUGUAACUCUUGAUGUCACUUUUGUACGUCUUAAACUAGUGGGGAUGUUAAUCCUAAAUACUCUAAUCGUGUAUGAAUAUUAAGUUAACAAUUUAUUUUUG